rnacentral:rRNA from 1 species
CCCUUAGAUGUUCUGGGCCGCACGCGCGCUACACUGAUGCAUUCAACGAGUUUCUUCCUGGUCCGAGAGUAAUGGGUAACCUUUUGAAAGUGCAUCGUGAUAGGGAUAGACUAUUGCAAUUAUUGGUCUUCAACGAGGAAUUCCUAGUAGACGUAGUUCAUCAGACUGCAUCGAUUACGUCCCUGCCCUUUGUACACACCGCCCGUCGCUCCUACCGAUUGAAUGCUCAGGUGAGCCAUUCGGACUUUCAUCAUGCUGGUUUCCAGUUUUGAUGAAGGAAAGUCUUGCGAACCUUAUCAUUUAGAGGAAGGAGAAGUCGUAACA